rnacentral:rRNA from 1 species
AAAACAUCGCUCUUUGAAAAGAAUACUAAGACAUAAAGAGUCCUGCCUGCCCAGUGACAGAAGUUAAACGGCCGCGGUAUUUUGACCGUGCAAAGGUAGCAUAAUCAUUUGCCUUUUAAAUGGAGGCUGGUAUGAAUGGCAAGACGGAAGUUUAACUGUCUCUCUUUUAGGAACUUGAAUUUAUCAUCUUCGUGAAGAGGCGGAGAUAAAAUCGUAGGACGAGAAGACCCUGUCGAGCUUAAGCUAUAGAUUAGAGUUAUAAUGUUUUUGUUUCCGGGCUAAUUUAAGAAUAAAUUGGUUUUACUCGGGAGUGAAAGUUUUCUGUUAAUCAGUUGUUUUGGUUGGGGCAACCACGGAGAAAACAAACCCUCCGUUAAAAAAUUAAAGAAAAAGUUAUUGUUUUGGAAGAUUUUUAGAUUAAAAAAUGAUCCACUAAAAAGUGAUCAAAGGAACAAGUUACCGCAGGGAUAACAGCGUAAUUUUUUUGGAGAGUUCAUAUUGAUAAAAAAGUUUGCGACCUCGAUGUUGGAUCGGGACUUCCAGGAGAUGCAGCAGUUUCCAAGGGUUGGUCUGUUCGACCAUUAAAGUCCUACGUGAUCUGAGUUCAGACCGG